rnacentral:rRNA from 1 species
GAUGAACGCUGGCGGCGUGCCUAACACAUGCAAGUCGAGCGGAAAGACGAUGAGCUUUUGCCUCUGACGGUGGCGGGGGACGGGCGGGUAACGCGUGGAUAACCUUCUACUAAUACUGGGAGAAUAUCGGGGAACCGGUGACAAUACUAGCGAAUACGUUCUACGGGAGGAAUCAAUAGUUAAACGCGCCUUUGCUGUCUGAUUUAGCCGGUGUCGCAUUAGCUAGUUGGUGAGGUAACGGCUCACCAAGGCAACGAUCCGUAGCUGACCUGAGAGGAUGAUCGGCCACACUGGAACUGAGACACGGUCCAGACUCCUACGGGAGGCAGCAGUAGGGAAUAUUGCACAAUGGGCGCAAGCCUGACCGAGCAACGCCGCGUGAGUGAUGAAGGUCUUCGGAUCGUAAAACUCUGUUAUUAGGGAAGAAAAAAUGUGUAAGUAACUCUGGACGUAUUGACGGUACCUAAUCAGAAAGCCCCGGCUAACUUCGUG